rnacentral:rRNA from 1 species
UACAUGGGGUGCAAACGUUGCUCGGAAUUAUUGGGCGUAAAGCGCGCGUAGGCGGUUAUCUAAGUCGGAUGUGAAAGCCCUCGGCUUAACUGAGGAAGUGCACCCGAAACUGGAUAGCUAGAGUACGAAAGAGGGUCGCGGAAUUCCCGGUGUAGAGGUGAAAUUCGUAGAUAUCAAGCGGAACACCGGUGGCGAAGGCGGCCUUCUGGACAGUGACUGACGCUGAGACGCGAAAGCGUGGGGAGCGAACGGG